UCGAGGCUCGGGUGUUGACAGCAGCCGCAGGUACUGAUGCAUGUAAAGAAGGAAUGACUCAAACCAUGUAUACAAGAAAUGCUGACAGUUUUUCCAGCUGGACGUGAAUUCCAGAACCAGAGGAACAAUUUUUGACAGAGAGAAAAUGACAAAGACCAUAAAGUCAGAAAGGCCUUUGGAAACGGCAUCAGAGCCGACGUCUGGACAGAGUUUCUCAGAGUUUCUGUCUUCGGUGACAUCAGGGUCCAAGAGUUAUACGCCUCUACUGAAUCAUUCGUGGUUUUCCAGAACUACACCAGGAAAAUCGGAGCGAUAGCACGUGAAAACGUUUUGAUUAAGCUGAAACAGGGCUGCUGGUGUGUAAGAUCACAGACAUCGCUCCCUUUCUAGGCUACGCCCACAACAAGGAACAAACAGGGAAGAAAAAACUCCGUAACGUCCUAAAAAAAGAUCUUUACUACAACACUGGAGACCUGAUGAGGAUCGACACCUUCAGCACUUGAACGCAUCAAAGAGUAGUAGAACAUCAGCAGGAUCUCAUCCCAAACAGAAACUCUGGGUUUUUCUAGAUCGCUUUUCAGGAAGCACGAAAUAGAGGUAGGUAGAAGUAGUUCUCCCUUAAUUACACACCAUGCAUAUUGAAAUACCUGCAGAUAAUCUGAAUUUUUUUUUCAAAUAUCACCUGCAGCAGAAGACAGUUUUUAUCUGCUUGUAUUUGUUUUGUUUUAAUUUCAUUUAUUUGCUUUGCUAAGUUUUUGGCAGCAGAGAAGCAAGGCAGAGGUUCUGUCCCUGUUACUUUUAGUUGUGCAAUGCACUCGGGAUUGGCUCAGGUUAAAGGCUGUCCUCACUGGUGAAAAACACAUACAGAUACACGGUGUAAUACCAAAAGGGAGGGGUCUAUUCAGCCACAAAGUAAUUCAGAACACAAGCUGCGCGAAGAACACGGAGUACUGCAAGUUAUUUGUAUAAAACAUUGUAGGUUUCCACAGAUCCUUACCGUCAAAAUCACUGAGUCUGUUUGGAAUCACUACACACUGUAUGAGAAUUGCUUUCAGGCAGUCUGCGUGCACAGACCUGUUGUCGGUUAUCAUACACUCUGUUGACUUUCUUUAAAAGCUAGGAAAUGAUCACAGCUAAUAUUAGAGUUGAUAUAGAUUUUUUUUUGUAUUCAUUUACUCACUGGUAGAAAUAUAUUAUAAACAUUUUAUUUUGUAAAAUAAACCCUCAAGCAGUAUAACAGCAGUGUAACAUAAAAAAAUAUUCAGCAGAUUCAUUUAUUUAUGAAUCAUAGGUUUUUUAAGCAUUCUACGCUGCAGCUCCAGACUUUGUCUUUAAAAGAAUAAAGCAGCUUAAACAGCCUGGUCCUUUUAAUGACACACUUGAGCUGAGCUGAAUAAGGGGGAGUGUGCAGGGUUUAUUCAAGGAAACAAAGUCCACAUAAGUUCGUACGGGCGGAGCGGUCACCAUCAGUCAGGUCUUAUCAGUGUUCGAAAGUCACUUGCAUGUGGUUUACACAACUAUAAAAUGAAAUAAAACACACGCACUAAGUAUAACGGACCAAACACGGGCACUUUGAUCCAAUCACAAAAACCAAAGCAAAGUGUUAUGAAAAAAGAUGCUGGUUAUGCUCUGUGUGUGCUGUUGAGAGAAGCCUGGUGCAUUUAUGUAGAGCAGAGGUUAUCUAAUGGCGGUUUGCGACCUCUACGGGUCAGCGGAGGUACUGCGGGGAAGGUUUGAGGAAUUUUGGGGUUUAUCUGGCAUUGCUGGUGUAUAUUUUGUUUUAUAUAUUUAAAAAAAUAAAAAAUAAAGUGAGAUCAAUCUCAAUUAAUCAAUGAAGACACAGUCAACUACAGAUUAGAACACACCGCAGCACAAAAGAUUUUCAUCAUUAAAAGACAAUUUACCACGACUGUCGUUAAACACUUUAUUUUGUCUGUAAUUAAUUAAAAAAUAUGGAGUUAAAGUCUUAAGCCUGAAUAUGAAUGAUGAAACAUUAAUUUCUGAAUUAGCCGUAUAGCUUAGCAUCGCAUACAAGUAACAAAGUAUGCACAUACUGUAGAUGGCACUUGGGUUUAUAUAUGUAUGUAUGUAUAUAUAUAUGUAAAUAUAUGUAAGUUAUAGAAGAACGUCGUUGUUGACUCUUGUUGAAUGUCAGGAACACAAACUUCCCUCCGUGGUGCUACAGGCUAAUAAAGUAUUUUAAUGUUUGUAUAAAAAUGCGUUUUUUAUGACCUAUAAUUAGGUUAUACAACUAUAAAAUUUCAAGUGCAAAGUUCUAAAAGUAAUAAACCCCGUAAACUACUCCGGGCAAAUAGAGAAAAACUUACAUUUGAGCUGAAACUGUUUUCCCUCCCACUCAACGUCUCCUA